rnacentral:rRNA from 1 species
AUGAAUGGAAUAGGUGGCAUCUGGAACCCAGGAAUGGUAGGGAUAGUUGUUGGUAUUGUGAUCGGAAUGGAUGGAAUGGUAAUUGGAACUGAGGGCAUUGGUGGCAUGGUAACAGGCAAAGUAGGAAUGGUCGGCAUGGUGGUUGGGAUCGCCGGAAUCGGAAGAGAUGGAACUGUGCCAGGGGCGGUUGGUGCCAUGGCGACCUUCGGGAUAGGAAUGAAUGGUAUUGGCGGCAUUGUCAGUUUCGGAACUGCGGGAAUGGAAGGCAUUGGAGGCGGUGUUGUUGGAGCUUCCGGUGUAGAACGCUGA